AUAUAUAUAUAUAUAUAUGUGUGUGUGUGUGUGUGUGUGUAUACACACACACACACACGUUGAACUACUUUAAAACAGUUUAU
rnacentral:miRNA from 1 species